AUCUUUUUGCUCGUAUUUUGACGAUUUUACGGACCGUGAAAGUCGAAAUCCCAAAUCAUGAUGUUGCUGGCCCUGGUGUGCGCCUUUGUUUUUGCUUCAAGAGCGACUUCGGCAUCCAGCCUACAGGUUCCCAUGCUGACUAUGCGUAUGGGUAGGCCAAAAUGUGACCAUCAGCAACGAAGUGACCGUAUUCAACGUCACCGUGGCCAGCGAUCUCGGAAAGAACACCCUCAACGUGUCGUUCCACAUCGACGUUACCAGUGUCGUUGAAAACUCAUCCAACGCUCGGUGUGAAUAUUACUGAGAACGGAGUGGAGUCCUCGAUACCGUGCCUUGACGACAUUGGUUCUUGCCUGUACCACCUCUGCGAUGGCAACUCUACCAUGGAGGAGGAGGUGACAAAGGCAUGGAAUAACACAUGCCCCAUUCCAGUUGGAAAGUACCCUGUCAAUAUGACGCUGGACCUUGCGAAAAACAAGUACCUGACUUCAGGAAAUACGAUGAAGACCUUCAACUUCACCUUCAAGGAUGGUGGCAAUGUCACUGGCUUUGUGUCCUUCCCCGUCGACAUUCCGCCCAUGGCAGGCUCAUUCGCUUCUGCGCUUACAGCCUUGCAUGCGUCGUGGAUUCUCACUGUUUCUCUGUUACAUUGCGAUGUCAGUAGAGGUCACGAAAAUGAGCGUGAAAGAAGUUUGUCGCAAGCACACGCUUAAUUGUGUAAAAAGAGAUUAGGUGCUGAAACACUCAGACUUCACUGCACCUUUUAACUAACGGUGUUCAAACUGCGACUCCCAAGUUGAUGUAAAGGAGCGAAAACUACCAUCAGGUGUAGUAUGCAGUUGUGGAAACGAAAUCUGCACUACUUUCGUGGUUCUAUUGUCAAUAAUCCACGUAAUACUUCAUGCAGUGCAACUCAAAGGAACUUGCAUGCUCCUUGCUGCAGACGACUCGAGGGUGAGAGAUGUCUUCUUAUUAUUCUUCUGAUUCCAUGUAUUGAGCCUCCUCAGCAAUUUAUAAGAGAUUUCUGUACCUACACCAUAAGCCAGUUUGCACCCUUAGG